AAGUCGUAACAAGGUCUCCGUUGGUGAACCAGCGGAGGGAUCAUUACCGAGUUUACAACUCCCAAACCCCUGUGAACAUACCUUACAGUUGCUUCGGCGGACCACCCUCGCCUCGCCGCGAGGGCCCGCCAGAGGACCCCAAACCCAACUUUGUCUUUUGUCUUAAACAGCGAAUUCUGAGUGGAUUUUAUAAAUCAAAUCAAAACUUUCAACAACGGAUCUCUUGGCUCUG
rnacentral:misc_RNA from 1 species